UCCUACUGCCAUAUAACAUUGAAUCUGGUGGUUCUUUUCUGAUCAUUGAAGUUAAGCAAAAUUUUGAGCCUGAUUAGCACUUAGAGGGGUGACCGUUUGAGGAACCGAGUAGCUGUAUGCA
rnacentral:rRNA from 1 species